rnacentral:rRNA from 1 species
GACGAACGCUGGCGGCGUGCUUAACACAUGCAAGUCGAACGGAAAGGCCCUGCUUUUGUGGGGUGCUCGAGUGGCGAACGGGUGAGUAACACGUGAGUAUCCUGCCCUUGACUUUGGGAUAACUUCAGGAAACUGGGGCUAAUACCGGAUAGGAGCUCCUGCUGCAUGGUGGGCGUUGGAAAGUUUCGGCGGUUGGGGAUGGACUCGCGGCUUAUCAGCUUGUUGGUGAGGUAGUGGCUUACCAAGGCUUUGACGGGUAGCCGGCCUGGGAGGGUGACCGGCCACAUUGGGACUGAGAUACGGACCAGACGCCUACGGGAGGCAGCAGUCGGGAGUAUUACGCAAUGGGCGGAAGCCUGAUGCAGCAACGCCGCGUGCGGGAUGACGGCCUUCGGGUUAUAAACCGCUUUCGACUGUGACGAAGAGUGAGUGACGGUAAUGAGUAAAAAAGCACCGGCUAACUACGUG